CGGUACAGUCGAUUUCAUCUUCGGAAAGUCCGCGACCGUGAUCCAAAACUCUCUAAUCCUCAUCCGAAAGGGUAGCCAGGGACAGGCCCAUUACGUUACAGCCGACGGUAACGAGAAAGGUGCAGCAGUCAAGAUCGGUAUCGUUCUUCAGAACUGCCGUAUCAUGGCGGACAAAGACCUCGAAGCUGAAAAGCUAACCACCAAAUCGUACCUAGGACGGCCGUGGAAGAAAUUUUCCACCACCGUAAUUAUUGGAACUGAGAUUAGUGAUGUGAUUAAGCCAGAAGGAUGGUCCGAAUGGAAAGGAGAAGCUAACCACAAAACCGCUAAAUACAUUGAGUUCAAUAACCGUGGACCAGGAGCUAACACUGCUGCUAGGGUUCCUUGGGCCAAGAUCGCUAAGUCUGCGGCUGAGGUUGAAGGUUUCACCGUCGCUAAAUGGUUGACUCCGGUUAACUGGAUUCAAGAAGCCAACGUGCCUGUCCAGCUUGGAUUGUAAGAAAACAAACAAACAAAUAUUAACGAAUAAAACAGUAUGUGAUAAUGUAAAGAGGUAACGAUAUACGACCUCGUCUCUGGGGACCAGGGCUCUUUUUGAUAUUAUUAUACAAUAUAGGGGUUCUAGACAUUGUGGGAUGAAGUUUGUAUAAGAUUGCUUUUGUUUCACGUGCAAAAAAAAAAAAAAAACUAAUGUUGUUUCAGUUGUUUUACCCUUUUUAUCCUAAAUAAUGAAUUUCUUCUAACCAUUUUGUUGUGUGUAUAUAUAUCCCUAUCCUUUUUCUGUUACAAUAUGAACUAAAUAAUAUGAUUGAUAGAUAAAACUUCGUAAAAACAAACAAACCAAUAUAUUUAUCUACAAUUUAUGUGUAAACAUGUACUAGCUAGUUUUCUUCAAAAAAAUAUGUACUAGCUAGUUUGAUAAAAUAUAAACCAAAUACACAUCUAACGCCCGUUGAUAAAAAUAAUGUUUGAUGUGUUUCUUUUAAUUUUUGUUUGGUUUUCAAAUAGAUUUCGCUUCUGUUUUUAAUUUGGUUUCGAUGGGGAGCCAUAUAAUAUAACUCUCAGGUGCAAUAUAUCAGAAACUACCGGUUAGCAGUGACCAGAGGGGACAACUUAUAUGUCAGGAGGUGUAAUCUUACCUCUAUUCAACUCCAAUACAGGAAUCAGAAUCAAGACUUCUCCUGGAAGAGGAGGGUACGUUAGAAACGUUCAUGUAUCAAACGUGAAGCUAGAUAAUGUGCAGAAAGCUAUCAGGUGCACUGGUAAGUAUGGUGAACAUCAUGAGAUUUGAUCCUACAGCACGUCCGGCUAUAUAGAGAGUCACGUUUGAGAAUGUUGAUGGUGAAGGUAUUGGUGUUGCGGGUCUUAGUGAAUGUAUAGAAUUAGAUGAAUUUAAGAAUAUAUGUUCCUUAAUGUUACUAUAUUACGGUGAAGAAUAAUCCCUAAUAAAGAAGAACUCGAAGAAAGCUCCAUGGAGAUGCUCAAAUGUUAGAGACUAUUCACACCGUGUGAACGGAGACCGUGCAGUCAUAUUCAACUGUAGAUUUGACGCUUUCCAAGACACACUCUACGUCAACAACGGACGUCAGUUCUACAGGAACAUUGUUGUGUCCGGUACAGUCGAUUUCAUCUUUGGAAAGUCCGCGACCGUGAUCCAAAACUCUCUAAUCCUCAUCCGAAAGGGUAGCCAGGGACAGGCCCAUUACGUUACAGCCGACGGUAACGAGAAAGGUGCAGCAGUCAAGAUCGGUAUCGUUCUUCAGAACUGCCGUAUCAUGGCUGACAAAGACCUCGAAGCUGAAAAGCUAACCACCAAAUCGUACCUAGGACGGCCGUGGAAGAAAUUUUCCACCACCGUAAUUAUUGGAACUGAGAUUAGUGAUGUGAUUAAGCCAGAAGGAUGGUCCGAAUGGAAAGGAGAAGCUAACCACAAAACCGCUAAAUACAUUGAGUUCAAUAACCGUGGACCAGGAGCUAACACUGCUGCUAGGGUUCCUUGGGCCACGAUCGCUAAGUCUGCGGCUGAGGUUGAAGGUUUCACCGUCGCUAAAUGGUUGACUCCGGUUAACUGGAUUCAAGAAGCCAACGUGCCUGUCCAGCUUGGAUUGUAAGAAAACAAACAAACAAAUAUUAACGAAUAAAACAGUAUGUGAUAAUGUAAAGAGGUAACGAUAUACGACCUCGUCUCUGGGGACCAGGGCUCUUUUUGAUAUUAUUAUACAAUAUAGGGGUUCUAGACAUUGUGGGAUGAAGUUUGUAUAAGAUUGCUUUUGUUUCACGUGCAAAAAAAAAAAAAAAACUAAUGUUGUUUCAGUUGUUUUACCCUUUUUAUCCUAAAUAAUGAAUUUCUUCUAACCAUUUUGUUGUGUGUAUAUAUAUCCCUAUCCUUUUUCUGUUACAAUAUGAACUAAAUAAUAUGAUUGAUAGAUAAAACUUCGUAAAAACAAACAAACCAAUAUAUUUAUCUACAAUUUAUGUGUAAACAUGUACUAGCUAGUUUUCUUCAAAAAAAUAUGUACUAGCUAGUUUGAUAAAAUAUAAACCAAAUACACAUCUAACGCCCGUUGAUAAAAAUAAUGUUUGAUGUGUUUCUUUUAAUUUUUGUUUGGUUUUCAAAUAGAUUUCGCUUCUGUUUUUAAUUUGGUUUCGAUGGGGAGCCAUAUAAUAUAACUCUCAGGUGCAAUAUAUCAGAAACUACCGGUUAGCAGUGACCAGAGGGGACAACUUAUAUGUCAGGAGGUGUAAUCUUACCUCUAUUCAACUCCAAUACAGGAAUCAGAAUCAAGACUUCUCCUGGAAGAGGAGGGUACGUUAGAAACGUUCAUGUAUCAAACGUGAAGCUAGAUAAUGUGCAGAAAGCUAUCAGGUGCACUGGUAAGUAUGGUGAACAUCAUGAGAUUUGAUCCUACAGCACGUCCGGCUAUAUAGAGAGUCACGUUUGAGAAUGUUGAUGGUGAAGGUAUUGGUGUUGCGGGUCUUAGUGAAUGUAUAGAAUUAGAUGAAUUUAAGAAUAUAUGUUCCUUAAUGUUACUAUAUUACGGUGAAGAAUAAUCCCUAAUAAAGAAGAACUCGAAGAAAGCUCCAUGGAGAUGCUCAAAUGUUAGAGACUAUUCACAGAGAUUAGUUGUGAUUCUUUUGAAGAGAGUAUCUUCCCGAAGCAUAUCUCUGAUUGGUUUGGGUAGAAAAGGAUAAUCUGGAGUAAUUAAGGGGUUUAAGUAGGUCACCAUGGCUGCUUUCUUGAUAAGUUGACCAUUGAGGGCAGCACGCAGUUUGCGUUGUUGUCGAGAAAUCUUCAAAUUUUCCUUACUAUUUUUCUAUGAAAUUUCGCUUUUCAAAAGUGAUGUUUUCGUUUGUUCCUUCUUUCAUUUUUUUUAAUUGCAAGUUUGUGCGCAGUGAGAAAAAUAAACCCUAAACCAUAAUCACUAAAUCCUAAAUCCAAGUAUAAACCAUAAACCAAAAUAUAAACCAUAAAUCUCAAAUACAAUAUAACAAAAUAAAUAGCAUAGUACAUAAAAUUGAAAUUAUGAAAUAUCUAUGAUUGCAUGAAUGGAGUUAAUGAUAAUCUCAAUCUUAUCCCCCAACUUCUAAAUACUAAACCCUAAACUCUAAUCACUAAAUUUAAAAUCCAAAUAUAAACCCUAAAUCCAAAUAACAAAAUCUUGAAAACAGUACAUAAUAUUAUGUAAUAUUAAACUAUACAUAUAGAUCAUUCAUUGUAAUAUUCUACUUUUAACUAUAAAAUAUAAUCAUUAUAAAUAGGACAAAACAAAUUUGUGUGAAGUUUACAUUUGUUAUGGGUGUGGUUAACUGAAUGCUCAUGUAAUUACAAGUGGGGUAACAACAAACAUAAUACAUAUUAUGCUACAUAUAUUAUGUACAUAUCUGUUCUAUUUGUCUAUAUAGAAUAGAACAGGAAUUUGUGUAUGGAAUAGUAACACAAGUUAAUUUUCCUUCGUGCGAAUAAUCAUCGUGUCCAUAACAUACUGCUCAACACCCUGAGCUUUUGCAAUCUUUACUAUGAGAAUAAACGACUCCCGACCCUAUGGAUACUUAAGGAAGUAGUCAAUAUUGGUCAACAUACUAACCAUUUCAUGUCUAAUUUUCGUCGUUCCAAAGAGUUGUGUACAAUAUUCAUUUCUUUCCAGUUGGUUCAAAUCCAGUUUCAAACAUUCUGCCUGGAAGGCUUAAUUCUUACAUGACAACCUGCAAAAGAAAACCAAUCUGAAAAGAUAUCAUACGGAGCAUAGAACGAAACUAUCAAUAGCAUAUAAUACUAUAUACUUGGGAAGUACUAUACUAUAUCAAAGAAGAACAAAUUGAAUAUUGGCUAAGGAAUAAAUUAUAAUAUUUAUGGUAGCUACAUAGAGCCGGUCCUACUAAUUAAUGGGCUGGAAGUAAAUCUUAAAAGUGUGACCUAUUUAUAUUUAGCUUUAUAAGAAGAAAAAGGAAAUUUAAAUAAUGUCAAUAGGUUAGGUUGAACUCCUCACCUCCUCUGCACUAAAAAUAUGUUUUACCAGUUGACCUAUUGAAUUAUUUAUUUAAAUUUGUGGCUGGUAUUAUUGAUAAUUUAGUGGCGGCCGGAAGCACCAGCUUCUCCCGCUUCUGUCCAAGGCCGCCUCUGUAGCUACAGAGUGCAAUUUCCCUAUUUUGUAUGUGUUUUUUUAAUGCUUUGCUGAGAAGAACAAUUGUAUAUCUCCGAUAUAGUCUGUUGAGAUUGUAUUUUUGUGUUGUUAACAAAUUUUUUUAUAAAAAAAUUCAAAUUCCAAAAAAGAACAAACUCUAGUUAUCAGUAUUUGAUCAAAAAAAAAAACUCAAAUUUGAAGACAGGUGAAAGUUAACGUAAACUAGUAUUAUACCAGAAAAUAUUCAACGAGGUUGAUUCAAACUAUGUGAAAACCUCAACUGAAACAUAAAGAGAAAUUUGAUUACAGAUCCGUUAAUAAACAUAUACUAGCACUGUAUUAAAGAUUUAUGAACCAUAGAAGAGUAUAAUGUAUUUAUUUAUUAGUAUAAUGUAAUUAUUCAAUUAUUAUAUUAGUUUUGAAUAUUGGAAUCCAAGAUUUAAUUUCUUUUGAAUUGCGGCUAGAGGUGUUUGAUUCUGACUUUUGUUCGGUUUUAGUGUUUUUUGGUUUUUAGAUAUUUCAGUUUAUAAAUAAUUGAUUUUCGGUUUAUACCCAAACCAUAACUAUAAUUACCUUUUAGAACAAAUUUUAUUUUAUAUGAUUAGAAAUAUUUAUUAAAACUUAAAUAUCUAUUUUGUACGGAAAUUUUUAAAUAUAAUAUUUUCUGUUUUUUAACUAUUAAAAAUAAAAUAAGAAAAUAGUAAUUUCAUAAUAUUAAUAAAUAAAUAUAUUUUAGUACAAAUAUAUAACAAGAAAAAGUAUAUGUUUUAUUUGAUUUGAUGAAAAAUGGGAAAAAACAAAAUAACCCUUUUAACUUAGAAAAAUAACAAAUUAUUAAAAUCAAUGUCUUAAAUAUGAAUAUCAUAUUAAUAAAAUAAAUUAUGUAUUCAUUAUUAAUUUUAUUAUAAAAUUUACAUAUAAGUAUACCAAUAUAUUUUAGUUAAACGAUUUUUUGUUUAUACCGGAACAUAUUCAUAUAUUGUGGUUUCUUAAACAACAUCUAUUCAGUUUAUACGAUAUUAAACUAAUUAUCAAAACAAAAAAAAAAGUUUAUACGAAUAUUAGCAAAUUCUAAUCAAUUUUCUAUUUUGUUUCUGUUUUACCGAAUUUAAUAUCCCUAAUUGUAGCUCACGUGUGGAAGUCUAGUAAGUAAAGUUGAAUCUUAAACUUGAAAGUUGUAUUAAAAGUUCAUAUCAAAACUUAGAAAAAUAUAUAAGUAUGUAGUAAUCUUCAAUUGUAUAGUUAGUUUUCAUGUAUGAGUUCAAUUCAUAUAAAAUUUAGUUUUAUUAUACAUAGGCUAGCUAGUAAUUUUCUCAAAUUAAAAAAAAACAACAAAACAUAAAUAUUCUUGAAAAGGAUCUGAUUUUUUUUUCAUCCUUACAAGUUACAACCGAAUAAUACUAACAUUAAGUAACAAACUAAAAACAAAAUUUUGAAUAAAUCUCCGACAAACAAGUGAUUUACAUCAUGACAAAACUUUCUUCCCACACUGUAUUGGUCAAAUCCUAGAUUCCAUCUUUGCUUUACUUUUUAUAUCAGUAGUGAUACGUUCUUGAGAUUUUUAGUCUUCUCACGCUAGACAAGAACAUCCUAUAGAAUAAUCAAUUAAACCCCAUUAGACUUCUACAUCAUUAUAUAGUCAUUAAUCAAAAUUGCAAUGUGUUUAAUUAAAGAUUAAAUAUAUUAAAAAGAUUAAAUAUAAUAAAUUAGAAAAGUACUUACUCCCAAGGAACAUCUCCAACCAUUAUCCAGUCACCUUCCUUGUCUGCGUACGUUAGCACAUGACUCUUCUCGCUACACAUAUCUUCUUCUUCAGCCCCUGUUUCAGUUUUCAUCAUAUUUAUUAUGUUAUGGUUACAAAGAGUGAAAGAGAUUUAUAGGAUGUUCUUGUCUAGCGUGAGAAGACUAAAGAUAUCAUAUUCUUUAGCAAAAAAAGAGCCAAAACAUAAACGAGAUAUGUAUAAUUAUUUUGAGUGCGUUAUAUUCAUAUAUAUAAGAUAUUGGUGACAUGCAAAGAUAUAUAAAUAUAGAUAAAAAAAAGAUAUAUAAAUAUAUGUGAGUAAAUUCUUACAUAGGAUUGAGGCGUUGAACAUGUAAUCGAGAGUUGUGAUCAAAUCAUGGUAUCCAUUAAGAGAAAAUAGAUCGAUUUUUCUUCCAAUAGGAACACCUUCCAUGUUCACCUUCACGUAGAAGUUUCCGAGACUAUUACACUCGUUUUGAUCUUCUUCUUCAAUGAUCAUUUUAUGAUCAGCCGCAACGACUCCAUAUUCAUCAUGAUUUUCUCCACCGUUGUAAUACUGUCCGGACGAUGAUCCGAAGCUAAGUCCGAGCCUCAGGUCCGUGCUUAGGUUCCGAGUAUUACUCGAAGAGACACCAAAUGGGUUGCUUUUGCAGCUACUUUCUAUCGAUGAAGACGGUGAGCUUCUUCUUCUUCCCAUUUUUUUUUUCUGACUAUUCUCUUUCUCUAAGAUUUUGAUGUAAAGAUGUGAUUAAUGAUUUGAACGUGUGUGUAUAUAUAUAGAGAAGGAUUUUUAAAAUUAUAAUUUAAUAUAAUGUUCCCAGAAGAGGAAGAAUUGAUAUUGAUAUGGUCUUCUUUUUUUUUUGAAUAAAUAAAAAUGAUGAGACAGUGUUGUUAAAGAUGUUGCUGAUGUAGCAGACAAGUAUACGUGUCAACCAGACAUUUGGUCAAAGUGUUGGUAUAGACUUUGUGCUUGGAUGUUUUUGGUGGAUGUGUUCUAUUUGUAUUGUUUCAAGUUUAAUACUCCAAUCCUAGUACUCUUCGUUUAACAAAAAUAUUACAAUUGUUUCCUUUUCCUUGAUAGAAAACCCCCAAAAAACAUUAUCCGAAAUUUAUUUAUUGAAUCAAGCUCUCAAACUCACACUUUAUUAAUCACUCAAUGCUUUAGAAAAUAACUCAAAACUAAAGCUCUCAACACACACAAGUUAUGCAACACUCUUGCAUAUCCUUAUAUAUAAAUCUUAAGUUCCUAAACUCAUUAGGAAACUACUCUUAUAGAUAACUCUAACAUAUGACUUUCCUAAUCUCAUAGGAAAGUGGUAGCUUGUUUCCUAAGCUACUUCAAGUUCACUUCAACAUUCACCCCCUUGAUCUUGAAGUCUCCAUUUGAAACAUCUUGAAUCCCAAUCAAGUCUCUCAUCUCCUUAAAUUUAAUUCUCCCGAGUGCUUUAGUAAGUAUAUCAGCCUUUUGCUUAACUCCUGCAAUAUGCUCCACGCUCACCAUGUUCUUUUCAAUGCAUUCUCUUAUAAAAUGAAACCUCGAAUGUAUAUGCUUGCUGCGACCAUGAAAAACUGGAUUCUUGGUCAAGGCUAUAGCAGAUUUAUUGUCUAUUCGUAUCAUCACUUUGUUGCCCACACGUCCAAUGAUCUCCUCAAGUAGAUCCUGUAACCAAAUUGCUUGUUUGGCUGUCUCUGUUGCCGCCAUAAACUCAGCUUCACAUGAUGACAAUGCAACAAUCUCUUGCUUCUGAGAACACCAUGUAAUCGGAUUGCCACCAAGAUAGAAAAUAUGACCUGUUGUACUCUUGCCAUCAUCUGGAUCAGCAUUAUAGCUACUAUCGCUGUAGCCUAUCAAACCUUCCUGCGACUUAGAUCCAAACUCGAGACCAUACGUCAAAGUUCCUUGUAGAUACCGGAGCACUUGUUUUAGUGCAGCCUUGUGAGAUUCCUUUGGAGCGUGCAUAUACCUGCUUAACACUCCAACACUAUACGCCAGAUCAGGCCUUGUAUGUAUCAAGUAUCUUAAACAGCCGAUGUUCCUCCUGUAGUCGGUUGCGUCAACGCCACGUUCGUCAUCGGCUCUACACAACUUUAAGCCUGCAUCCAUCGGUAUAUGCACUGCGUUACAUCCUUUCAUUCCGGCGGUCUCAAGUAUCUUUGUAGCAUAUCUUUCUUGGCUUAGCACAAUACUUCCUUCUCGCUGUGAGACUUCUAUGCCAAGAUAAUAACUUAGUCGACCGAGAUCACUCAUCUCAAAUCUUGUCGCCAUAUCUCUCUUAAACUCUAGUAUCAUCUCCAAGCUUGAACCAGUCACGAGUAGAUCAUCAACAUAAACUGCCACGACCAACAGAUGCUCCUUAUUUUCUUUUCGGUAUAAGGAUGGUUCCUUUAGACAUCGCACAAACCUUAGAUCUCGCAGUACUGCAUUUAAUUUCUCAUUCCAUGCCCUUGGGGCUUGUCUCAAGCCAUAUAAUGCCUUCUUUAAUUUGUAGACCUUAGUUUCACUCCCUUUGAUUAUGUAACCUUCAGGUUGUGAAACAUAGACCUCUUCUUUUAACUCGCCGUGAAGAAAAGCCGUCUUGACGUCGAGAUGAUGAAGUUGCCAGCCACGUGAUGCAGCCAUUCCGAUGAUCAAACGCACAGUUUCAAUACGCGCAACUGGAGCAAACACCUCGUCGAAGUCAAUACCAUGCUUUUGUAUAUAUCCCUUAGCCACAAGUCUUGCUUUGUACUUGUUUAUGCUUCCAUCAGAGUUUCUUUUAACUUUAAACACCCACUUUAAUCCUAUUGCUUUACAAUUUGGAGGAAGAUCACCUAGACUCCAAGUUUUGUUCUUCUCGAUAGACUUGAUUUCAUCAUCACAUGCAUCUCUCCAUACUUUCAAUUCGCUUGCUUCCUCAUAGUUCCAUGGCUCUUCGUUGACAAGAAGCAAAAGAUGUUCACACUCGGCUUCGCAUAACGUCUCAAAGUCAUCUUCUUCACACAGAAGUUCAUAGUCCUCAAGGUAACUUGGCAACCUGCUCGUUCUUGUGGAGCGCCUCAGCUCCAUUGGCAAAUCCUCUGUAUCUGCUUCGUUACCAACCUCUUCUUCUUUUGCUUCUUGAGUGUUAUCUUUAUUUUCCUCAACUCCCUCUGUAUUUACUCGUGUACCUUGAUCACCAAGGUAGUAAUUAAAGCUCAACGCACUAGACCCGUUGCUUGAAGUCUUCUCUGUUUCGUCCCACUUCCAUCCUCGUUCUUCAUCAAAUACCACAUCGCGGCUUACAACUAUUUUCCGACUGGUUGGAUCAAGAAGUCGAUAGGCUUUUGAUCCAGGCUCGGUUCCAAGAUGGACAAGCAUCCGUGUUCUGUCGUCCAGCUUCUUCAGGUGCGGUGUGUUCACUUUCACAUAGCAAAUACAACCAAAAACUCUUAGGUGAUCAACGUUUGGUUUCUUGCCUUUGUAGCUUUCGUAUGGAACCUGUUGAUGAAGAGUUCUUGUUGCUAGCCUAUUGAUUAGGUACGUCGCAUGUCGUACCGCUUCACCCCAGAGCCAGUUUGGAACAUCUAAGUGUUUUAAGAUACUCCGUGUCAUCUCGAGUAGUGUUCUGUUCCUCCGCUCGACCACUCCGUUUUGUUGUGGGGAGUAUGGUGCGGUUAGAUGACGUUUUAUGCCUUCUUUCUCGCAGAACUCUUGGAAUUCAUGGGAAGUGAACUCCCCUCCUCUAUCAGUACGAAACGUUUUUAUCAUUGCACCAGACUCUUGCUCGACCACAGCUUUAAACCGUUUAAACUUAGUGAACGCUUCACUUUUCUCCUUCAUGAGAAUACUCCACAUAUAUCGAGAGUGGUCAUCGAUCAGAACAAAUACAUAUCUAUUUCCUCCUGCUGUGUGUGGUGUUAUCGGUCCACAAAGAUCUCCAUGUAUCAGCUCCAAUAUACUUGUUGCUCGGAAGGAACUCGCCUGUGGAAAUGGUUUUCGAGUUUGCUUGCCUCUCAAGCAAGAACCGCAAGUCUCCUUUUCUACUUCAAACGCUGGUAAACCGGUGACAAGCUUCUUGUUAACCAUCAGUUUUAGGUUCUCUAGGCCAACAUGUCCCAGACGAGCAUGCCACUUUGUUGAUUCCCUGAGAUGCAUUAGUUGUAAACACUUGAUAUUCUCUGCCUCCAUAACUACUUUAUAUAAUCUAUUCCUUGCUCUCUUCGCUUUAACCAGCAACUUGUUAUCUCGAUCAUACAAGAAUAGGUGGUCUUCUUUCAUUCUAACCUCGCAUCCCGACUCAGUAGCCUGACCUAGGCUAAUAAUAUUGCUCCGAAGUUUAGGUAUGAAGUAAACAUCAGAUAAUACUCUUCUUUCACCGUUCUUUGUCUUAAAGAAUAUGGAUCCUUUUCCUUUGAUGUCAAUGCGGGAAUCAUCCCCAAACUUCACUUUCCCUGUUAUCCCAUGAUCUAAUGUUGAGAAGUAGCCCAGGUUCCCCGUCAUAUGGUUGCUAGCCCCGUUGUCUAGGUACCAUAGAUGAUCAUCAGCUGUAUUUUCUUCGAGUUUACUUGGUGUGACGUUUCGUUCAUUCAAGAACACGACCUCAUGCAUCAUAAGUUGCUCUGCUUCUUGAGUAGCUUCUUCAUUCUCUUGUGUUUCUUGUAGUUUAAGCAAUCGGUCGGGACAGUUCAUCGCAAAGUGUCCCAUCUUGUCACACCUAUAGCACACGACUCUCGACGGGUCACGUUCUUGUCUAUAAUAACCUUGGUUUUGCUGAUAACUUUGUUGGUGCUGAUAAUUUUGUUGAUAGCCAUAUCGACCUCUACCUCUUCCUCGAAAACCAUAGCGACCGCCUCUGCCUCUACCUCUUCCUGACUCGUACCUGUCAUGAUUUUGCUGAGAAUCUGGCGUAUUAGUAAACAUCAGUUUAUCUUGACCUUGAUCUUCAUGUUUUUCUUCUUCAUCUUCAAAAAUCCUCUCUUCAUACGCCUUCAGUCUCCCUAUAAUGUCCUCGAAACUUGUUUUAUUAAGAUCGAGAACUUGUUCUAGCGCGGCUAUAAUGUGUAUGUAUUUCUUUCGAGGUAGGCUAUUAAGAAACUUUUUUACUAGCUUCGGUUCCUCAAUGUCUUCGCCUAAAGAGGCUGAUUUGGUCGAUAGUUCCGAUAGCUUUCCAACAAACUCGUCUAUAGAAUCUGUUUCCUUCAUCUUUAGUCGGUUAAAUUCAGCUGCAAGGGUUUGCAGCCUCGCUUCCUUGACUCGAUCAGCUCCCAUAUGUCGAGUUUUUAUUGCCUCCCAAACUGCUUUUGCAGUCUCUAGAUUUCCUACUUGUAAGAUCAACGAUUCCGGGAUUGAUUGGAACAAAAGUGCCCUUGCCAUAUCAUUCUUCUCUCCUUCGUCUUCUCCUGGUUCAAUAGUUUCCCAUACCUUGUGAACCUUUAGCGCCACUUUCAUUCUCAUGGUCCACACGGUAUAAUUUGUGUCGCUGAGCAUUGGACACUUGAUGGAUGACGAUCCACCACCUUUUGCGAUAUUGGUUGCAACGAUUUCUCCCAUUGCUUCUUCUCUCUUUCUUUUGAUUCAAUGAAAGCUCUGAUACCAAUUAUUGAAUCAAGCUCUCAAACUCACACUUUAUUAAUCACUCAAUGCUUUAGAAAAUAACUCAAAACUAAAGCUCUCAACACACUCACAAGUUAUGCAACACUCUUGCAUAUCCUUAUAUAUAAAUCUUAAGUUCCUAAACUCAUUAGGAAACUACUCUUAUAGAUAACUCUAACAUAUGACUUUCCUAAUCUCAUAGGAAAGUGGUAGCUUGUUUCCUAAGCUACUUCAAGUUCACUUCAACAUUAUAUAUAUUAUUCGUCUCAAAACGCUUUGAUAUUUUGUCGUAGAUAACUAAACAUUGUCUUAUCUAGACGAAGUUUUUCUACAAAGAUGGUCCCAAUCAUAUCUGGGAUGUUGGAAAUAAUUAAUUAGAUUCAUAAGAUGAGAUUAACUUGAGUAUGAGGAUCUUUCUUUAGAUAAACAUGAGUUAGAAGCAGUUAUGUUUGUUAGAGCUAAUAAAAUGAGAUUGAUGUUAUUAAUCUUUGAUUUUAAUUAAGCUAUUUUUAAUAUUAAAACAUUAGGUUUGUUUUAUGUUGAUUUUUUUAUACCACUUCGAUGUUUAUUAUUACUUAUUUAAUUUCCGUAUACUUAACACUUACUGCCUAUUUGUUGACUAAUGGCUAUUUGUUGACUUUGUUCAUAUACAGACCAAACAAAAUAAAUAAUAGUAUUCACAUGUUAAUUAGUUAGAUAAUAGACAUUUCCAAAACAUUUCUAUUUCUAACCUUUUUAAUAAUUACUUUUUUACGUUUCAAAUUUUUUUUGUGUAUCUGUUUCCGAUUUCAUUCAACUGUGAUUCAUUUAGCUUGAUAUCAUAGAUUAUUCUAUUAUUGGAAAUGAUUUUCUUACAGAUUCACCAGCUUUAAAAUGGGACGAAAUUUAUUGAAACACAAAAUUGAGCAACACUUUAGCAGAUUCAAAACAUAGAUGAAAUCGAAAGGACUAAUACUCCAUUCACAAAUAUCAUAUUAAUUAAAAAUAAAAUGUAAGGCUAUAUGUACGGAGAAAGAUGAACGUAGACAAAAAAAAAUACAUGUUCUAACCGGAUAAGAACAUUAUUUCUUGAAGAAGAUAUUAUAGAACAAAGUGUGUUACAGAAAAAAAAGGAACAAAGUACACUGAAUUUUUUAAGAUCUUAGUUUACUUAAUUUUUCGUCCGUAUUAAAUCAAGUUCAAUGCAUGAGAUUAUCGUGACGCGCAUUGAUGCAUUCGUGGGUUCGACAAACACCAUUUCCAAAUUAAGGGUUUCUUAUAACCGCGAUAAACUUUUUAAAAAAUAAUUUUAUAUUAGCAUAAACUAAUCUAAAUUUUUGUUUAAUGAUAUAUCAGCUGUUAAGCACGUCUCAUUUACGUCAUUAACACUCUAGUUCUGUUUAAUUUAAUUAUAAAAAUAGCCUAAGUGGACUACAUCGUAUCCUAGCCAGCAUGACAUGAGUUUGAGCUCACAUUAUUCUAAUCCAAGUCGCUUUGAGUUACACUUUCUCUCUUCAAUUUGUUUGAUUAUUACUUUAUGUUAACAUAAAGCAAAUACUCAAGUCCACAACCGAAAACAUAUGCUAUUUUCAGUAUUUAAAUAAACCCUUUUAUCAGUACAAUUAAAGUAAAUCAAUCGAUGCUCCUACAAAUCUAUGGCAAAAAGGGGUAGCUUUUAUGCCUAUAAUCUCUUCGUGCCACAAACCAAAACAUAUCAAAAUAGUUCUUUAUCUGAUUCUAGGUGCUCUCCAGAAAAUUGGAUGUUCCUUGUUUUUAUACGUUACAUACUUACAUGUAACAAUUAGAAGCAAAAAGAAAGAAACGAAAUCGGAAAUUUAAAAAUAUAGUACUAUAUACAGAAAGAGGAGAGAAGGGGGAGGCAAGCAUGAUGGAUGAGUAAUGAAUGCGUAACCUUAAAGAGAGGAGCUAAUGAAAGAUGCUUCGCCUAUGGAUGGACUUAAGGAGACGUCACAAUUCACCUCACACACUUAAAAACAUUUUUUUGCAAGCACGAGAAAAUGUUAGACGACACAAUGCCCGUAGAAGACAACAUUUUCACAUUCCCCACGUCACAUGCCUUUUUCCAGGUGUCUUCUCACUUUUGUCCCCUCCACUUCUACAAAUUUUCUUUAAACACUCCUUAGUUUCUUCAUGACCAAUCAAGAUGCCUAGAAACUCCUUGUUUUUUUUCUUUGUAAUUGAAGAUUUGUAACCGAAAUUUGUGGUAUUCUCCAAAUUCCUUUUACCAUCAAAUGGAAUUUUAUUUACGAUUUUGUUGAUUAGGGUCUAUAAUUGGUUUAAGAAAAUUAAUAUUAUUGUUACUAUUACAAUUUUUGUUUGGAUAUGUAUCUAGAAUUUGAAUCCUAUUUUUUCAUUUUUAAAAUCAUUUCAUCAAGUGCAUCUUUAAUGGAAAGACUAUUUAAAGCUUCUAAAAAAUACUCCUCUUUUUUAAUAAUAUACUAGAUAUUGACCCGCGCUUUAAAAGCGCGGGAUAACAUUUCAGUUAAAUUUUCGAUUUAAAAGUUACUAAUUUUUCUGAUCUGAAUUUUAAUAUUUGAGUUUAAGAUAUUUAACUGAGAAUAAUUUAUUUUAACAUCUUAUAGUGAGUGAUGGACAUUCAAAAUGUAGGUUCAUGUCAGUUAGGUUAAUUCAAUUUUCAAGUUAUUGGGGCUGGGAUGUUAAGACCCAUUUAUGAAUCAAAACUUUUCGAAUCAGAUCGAUUCGGGUGAUGUUGAGUUCGAGUCGGGUUUUUAUUUUUUCAUAAAACCCGAAGUGAACUGAAUUAGAAAUAGUUUGGGUUUAUUUGGGUGUGUUUAUUUGGGUCUAAAGCCAAAAAUUCUAAAAUCACCAAAAAAACCUGAGUUAAACCUAAAAAACUAAAAAAACCAGAUAAUUCAUGUAAUUUGGGGUUUUGGAUAUUUUUCUUAAAAAAAUAUAUUAUAUAAAUUAAUACUAUUAUGUUGAUUUUCAGUUUGGUUUUAGCUCUUUGGGUUUAGAAAGUAGAAACCAUUCAGAUUAUUGUAUAUUAUCCUGUUUUAGUUCCGAAUUUUUUGGUUCGGUUUUAGUUUGUUUUUCAGAUAUUGGAUAAUAUGUCCACGACUACAGUCUCAUUAGUUUUCUUAUCUACAUAAUAUCUAUCUUACUAAAACAUUAUUGAAUUUCCUAAGAAUACCUUAUAAUAUUACUUUUGUACAAUUUAAUUUCGUCUAAAGGGAUAUUUGGUCUUUCACUAAUUUUUUUUUAUUAUUUGUAAACUUAUUCAAUAAAAUCAUUUAUGGCUUAAAUAUCAUAUUAAAUUGCUAUAUUCAAGGGAUGUACGUAACAAAUGAACGUCAUAUACUGUGAAAAACAUUUUGCAGUAUAUACACUUUUUCAAUAAUAAUUAUUGAACAUACUAUUUCUUUCUAGCCCAAAAUGCUAACAUACCCGACAUUAAAUAGUAUAGAUAUCUAUAUAAUCGAACUUAAUUUCAUUUAAAGCCAUUAUGGUUUUGUGGCUAUAGGUACUUUGAACAUCCAUUUUUCUUUUUAAAGCAAUUUUUUCAAAGCAAUUAUGUUUUACUUUAAAAAAGUAAAGCUACAGCAAAAAAGUUAGAAACUAAAAUAUGGUAGCUUUCAAAAUUAAAUUUUCUACAGCUUUUAUUAAGUGUUUUGAAAAUAAAUCGACAACAAAAAAAAAUUAAAGCCAAAGGAAAAAACUCACACAGCCUAUUUUUUAAAACAAAAAAAAUAUAUAAAGCUACAUUAACAACCAA
rnacentral:lncRNA from 1 species